GCGAGCGGCGAGCGGCGAACAGCGAGCGAAGCGAGAGGCAGCACCGUCCCUGCUAUACGAAAGCCCCAUCCAUCCCUGUGCCAUCCGGGGUGUCACGCCCCUCAAAUAUAUCCAUGAUUUUAAAACAAUUUUCAUCACAAACCAAUCCAGGAUCCAAACUAACGUUUGAGGACACUGAAAAACAUUCUAUUCAUAUUCACAUCUAUAAAACCUGUGCAUUUUAAAAUCAUAUAUAACAUCACUCGAUNNNNNNNNNNNNNNNNNNNNGAGAGGGUGGUUGGCCUUCGCCUAUUGAAGGAAGGCCUCUAGUUGACGUCGGUGACCUCAUCUGUGGAGGAAGCCAAAAGUGGAGUAGGUUAAGAUUGACCGAACCACUCUAAAUCUCGGUUUGCAUUUCCUUUGAGCAUUUUACCUUCACUGCAAACUUCUCAAUAGCUUACUGCCCUCUGCGAUUUUACGAACGAGUUUCAAUGUUCAGACGUAAAUCUGCAUUUAGACGUAAAUCUGCGUUUAGACGUAAAUCUGCGUUUAGACGUAAAUAUGCUUUUUCGUAUGAUCAUCAUAUUGCAGAUUGCGUUUACGUUUUGAGCUUUACCAUAACUGCACACUGCCUUUAUACUCCUGCUUAAACUGCAUCUUAUCUAAUCAAGUGAUUUACGAAUCAGCAUUUAGACGUAAAUCAGUUUCUUCGUACGAACGUCGGAUUUCAGUUUGCGCCGAUAUUCUGGUUUUCAUCAUAGCUGCAAACUGCCUACAUAGAUUGACUUUAACCUUGCUUUGUAUCAACUUUCAUAUAGAAGUUGUUUUUAUCGUUCGAACGCAGCUUUCGAUUUUAAUCGCAGAAAGUUUUCCGCUGCACUAAUUCACCCCCCCCCCCCUCUUAGUGCUCUCGAUCCUAACACCUUUGUUACCCAGUUUUGCUGCUCGGGGGAAGAUAUCUUCUGCUCCAAGAGAUAUUUUUGGCUUUUAUGGUCAGUCUUGAUUUGAAAGCAUCGCAUGAUCAAGUACGAUCUCCACCUCGUUGCUGCGUGCACAAUGGCGAGCAUCACCUUAUCAUAUGUUAAUAUGUUUUGAUAGGGGGGAGACAAUGCCUUGCUAAUGUAUGUGAGUGGUUGACCAUCUUGCAUGAGAACGUCUCCCAUUCUGUCUCUAGAUACAUCGGCCUCAAUGAUGAAGGGUCGGUUGAAAUCUGGUAGCGCUAGCACCCGCAUCGUCAUCAUGGCUGCCUUAAGUUUGUCGAAGGUAGCAGAGGCUUUGUUCGACCAUUGGAAGGUAUCAUUUUUCAAUAGAGAAGUGAGUGGUGCACUGAUCUUUCCAUAGUUUUUCAUGAACUUACGGUAGUAGCCUGUUAAACCCAGAAAGCCAUGUAGCAAUUUUAUGUUCCUCGGGGUAGGCCAGUUUUGCAUUGCUCCAAUUUUGAAGGGGUCCACCGUCACACCUUUCUCUGAUAUGAUAUGCCCAAGAUAUUCCACCUUUUGUUGAAGAAAGCAAAAAUUCGUAGUGGCUAUUGUGUGUUCGAAAGGCGAUUUUCGAUAUGAUUUCUUCGUACACUCGUAUUUGAUGAUACCCGGAUCAAAGGUCCAGCUUUGUAAAGAUUUAUGCUCCCUUUCAUCUAGCAAUUCAUCUACUACUGGAAUAGGGUAUUUAUCCAUGAUGGUUAUGCCAUUGAGAACUCGGUAAUCAACGCAUAUUUGCCAUGUUCCGUCCUUGCGUACAAGUAGCACCGGUGAAGAGUAGAGGUUGCAACUUGGCCGAAUAACUCCUGUUUCGAGCAUCUCUUUUAUAAUCCUUUCUAUUUCAUCCUUCUGGAGAUGUAGUGUUAGGACUCUAGCUAGGAGAGUCCUAAUUGAGAGGGACAUUCAUGUAAAACCUACCUAAGCCGACCCCUAUUAAAGAGGUGAAGAGGCCGGCUAGGGUUAUGAGAUUAUUUCUUAGAGAAGAAUUAGGAGUUGUAAAGGAAUAGGAGUCUUGAGUAGAAGUCCUAUUAGGAGUUGGUUAGAAGUAGGAGUCUUAAGUAGGAGUCCUAUUAGGAGUUAGGGUUUAGAAACCCUAUAAAUAGCCAUGUAUUCCUCCUCUUUUGAUAAGCAAUAGAUGAAUCUUUUCUGCAGCCUUUGAGCAGCAACUUGGAGGGAGGAACCCCUAUAGAGUUCCAAGGAGGCCGAUCCCCUAAAGAGAUCAACCCCAAGUUUAGAAUCUGCAAGGGUUCUAACAUGUAGAUACUGAUAUGGCCGAGUAUUUACUGGAGGUUUGCCUUAAAGAAUCGUUAUAUAAUGAUCAUACCGACGGGUAAGAGGUAGGUUGUGCGGUUCGUCAAAUAUAUCUGAAAAUUCAGCAAGCAAAAGAAGUAGGUUUGGAUCUUCAAAUUCUAUUCUCUCCCUUAGUUUGCUGCUCAAAUUGUGCCAAAAAGCUAUUGCAUGCUUUAUGCAAAACCUUCUCCAUUUGUUGUGUGAAAAUCGUCGUUAUGUCGCCCCCAUGUUUCCCGUUCAGUAUCACCUGUUUCUCCUUACUGUAAAAUUUUAUAGUAAGUUGCAUAAAAUUCCAAGAAAUAUCACCUAAUGUCGUCAACCAUUUAAUUUUGAGCAUGGCCUCAUUAUCAUCAAGAGGGACAAGGAAGAAAUAUGCAAUUAUCUCUUGGUAAGGCCUCAUGAUCAGCAAUAGUUUCACUUGCGGGCGCCUACGAUCAUACUUCAAAAUCCAUCCAUCGGCGACCUUAACGUCAAACCUGCUGCAAUUCUUGAUAGGUAAGGCCAUCUGGACAACAAGCUUACUAUUUAGGAAGUUAGUAGUACUGCCCGUGUCGAUGAGAACAGUGAUCGGUUGUUGUUUGAGAAGGCCUCCAACUUUCAUCGUUUGCGGGGUUGAGUAGCCGGCUAGUGCAUGUACCGUAACUUCGGUCGGUUGUGGUUCUUUUUUUGCAUCUUCUUCUUCAUGUUCAAGGCACUCUUCUGGAUAUUUAAUGAUUGCUUCUUCUUUUGGUUCAAUCAUAAGAAGUCUCCCUUUACUACAGCGAUGCUCACGGCUCCAUGGCUCGUCGCAAUGCCAACAUAACCCCUUCGUAUAUCGCUCCCGAAGCUCUUCUCUUGUUAAUCUCUUUGGUGUAGGGACUCGGUCGAUAGUAGGGGGGGCUGAGGGCUUCAAUAUUGCUAGUUGAGGAGUGACCCUAGUCCUCCGAGCCUCAUGGUUCAGUUGCUCCUCUUGAUGUCGUGCGAAUGAGAUGGCUGCCAUAAGCGUGUACGAUUGUCGUGCUUUAACUUCUCCUCGGAUCUCCGGCUUCAAGCCCUCAACGAAUGUCCUCAAUAGCUGUUUUUGAGACCAAUCAUGAGUUUGAUUAGAUAACCUUUCAAACCUGGUUUGGUACUCCUGAAUGGUGGAGGUUUAUCGGAUCUUUGCUAGUUGUUCGUCAACAUUCUCGUAAUCCGUUGGUCUGAAGCGGAUCAACAGUCCUUCUUUGAAUUGUCGCCAUGAAAGGACUCCAUAAGUAUGUUCAAACCAGUCAAACCACUAUAUGGCAUCUCCUUCAAGAUGUAUAGCUGUAAUUUUCACCAUAGAUGCGUCCGCGGCUUUGUGGUACCGAAAAUAUCUCUCCGCGCGCGAGAUCCAACCAAUCGGGUCUCCUUCUUCCCAUCUAGGAAAAUUUACCCUCAUGCAUGGAUAGUUGGGGUUAGUCAUAGAGCCUCCCCUCCCUUAGAACUCAUCUCUUUGGGCCUGGUGCGAUCGGGCAAAGCUCUCUUCUUGAUAUGAUUUUUUCGGGCUUAGUGGUCAGCCCAAUCUGAGUUCGGUAAAGAGCGUCCGAAUCUUAUUCUCCAUUCGCGCCUCCAAGGCUUCGAAUUUAGCAUUAAUUGCCUCCUUAGAUGCCAUAGUAUAUGCCUCCAAAUCUAUGAUGUUAAGAUCUCUCUUUUGUUGUUAGGUUAAAGGCAUGUAUAGGUUGAGAGAAGUGAUAGUCGAAAGGGUUGGUGGAUCGGUGGAUGUAGGCUACGAUUUAGGCUUGUUUUGUGGCUGUUUUGGGUGCAGUUUGAGGGUGUGGUUUAGUGAAGUUUUAGGGCUGUAGAUGAAAGUUUUGGAUCUGUGGUAGAUGGCAGCAAAGGUUUGAUAGAAAUCAGUGGAAGUUGUAGCAAGUAUGUGCUGUCUUGUAAGAGUAGAAUUGUCGUCGAAGAAACAACGGUUUCUCGACAUAAUUUCCACCAAAAACUUGAGAGAAUUGAGGAGAGAAUUGAUAGCAAAAUCACAGAUUAUAUGACAGCAAGGAUAUCUAAUUUAAUCAAGAAAAUUUCGGCAGUAUAAUAGCAAGGAAAUUGGUGCAAGUUGCGAUUGCAGAAUUCUCAUCGAAAAAUUUCAACGGGUUACGACGAAAAUUUACAGCAACACAAAAUCAUUUUUAGAGAUGAAUUUUUUAAUAGAUCAAUCUUAGAUGGGAGCCAAGAUGAUCUAUGAAGUGUAUAAUAAAUUUCAUUCAAAAAAGAUUGUAAAUAGAUGGGUUAAGGCAACAAUAUGCAGCUGAAAUAUUCUGCAGCACAGAUUUUUAAGUAUAGCAAAUUGGACAUAAACGAUCAGUGGUUUAUAUUGAGAAUUUUUUAAUGAAACCAAAGAGAAAUCCACUGAUAGGAAGUGUCAAAGCUAUCAUAAAAAUUUCAUAGAGAUUUGGAUAGAAACAACGUAGUAUCAAGAUCAAACAAACAGUGCUAUGCGGCUGAAAUUUUACUGUGCAGAUUUUCAAGUAUAGCAGAUUAGACGUAAAAUAUCAAUGGUUUAUAUUGAGAAUUUUUUUGACAAAACCAAAGGAAAUCUGCUGUUAGGAAAUGUCAAAGAUGUCAUAAAAAUUUCGUAGAGAUUUGGAUAGAAAGAACACAGUAGCAAGAUCAAAUAGACGGUGCUAUACGGUUGGAAUUCUGCAAUGUAUCUUUCAUCGUAGAGAUGAAAACUUUAUGACGAAAAGUUUAUGCAGCAAUAUAGGAAUAAUUUUUUUGGGAUUUUCAAAUAAGGAUAACUAAAUUACAGCAGUAGUAAGGUAGAAAAUCAGAACCUGUUGCAAUUCACGGGGAGAUCAAAGGAUGAUCCGUGGUGGUGGAGAUGAUGGCGGAAUUCGACGACGAUCUUUUAAGCAAUUGUGGGAAUUGCUUUGGGCAGUUGUGGAGGGCUGAUGGAUGGCAAUGGAAGGGCAGCGAGAUGCCAAGAACGCUGCUCUGAUACCAGGUGUUAGAACCCUUGCAGAUUCUAAACUUGGGGUUGAUCUCUUUAGGGGAUCGGCCUCCUUGGAACUCUAUAGGGGUUCCUCCCUCCAAGUUGCUACUUAAAGGCUGCAGAAAAGAUUCAUCUAUUGCUUAUCAAAAGAGAAGGAAUACAUGGCUAUUUAUAGGGUUUCUAAACCCUAACUCCUAAUAGGACUCCUACUCAAGACUCAUACUUCUAACCAACUCUUAAUAGGACUUCUACUCAAGACUCCUAUUCCUUUACAACUCCUAAUUCUUUUAUAAGAAACAACCUCCUAACCCUAGCCGGCCUCUUCACCUCUUUAAUAGGGGUCAGCUUAGGUAGGUUUCACAUGAAUGUCCCUCUUAAUUAGGACUCUCCUACCUAGAGUCCUAACAGGUUCCAGGGUGCUGAGAUGGCUGACGUUUUGCUCCGCUCUCAACGGUCACCGCGGCACGCAAGAACAACCCAAAAAUAGGCCAAAACGGCACAAAAACGGGCCAAAACUGGCCAUUUUUGGCUGCGCGAGCGAGCAGAGAG
rnacentral:lncRNA from 1 species